UGGCCCGUGGAGCAAUUGGUAGCUCACCAGAUUUUGAUUCUGGGUGUUCCUGGUUCGAGUCCAGGCGGGCCAGCCA
rnacentral:tRNA from 1 species